rnacentral:rRNA from 1 species
UACAGAGGUCUCAAGCGUUGUUCGGAUUCAUUGGGCGUAAAGGGUGUGUAGGUGGCGCCGUAAGUCGGGUGUGAAAUUUCGGAGCUUAACUCCGAAACUGCAUUCGAUACUGCGGUGCUUGAGGACUGAAGAGGAGACUGGAAUUCAUGGUGUAGCAGUGAAAUGCGUAGAGAUCAUGAGGAAGACCAGUGGCGAAGGCGGUUCUCUGGGACGGUACUGACGCUGAGACGCGAAAGCGUGGGGAGCGAACAGG